UGUAGGGGUGCAUGUAGGCACGGUCCUUGUGAUGCGGUACGUGAUGGUGUGUGAGUGGUAUUUGGUUUGUGUGGUUGGCGGGCUCUUUGCUUGUGCAUUGGACCGUUCACCAACAUACCUUUUCAUUGUAUGCUGCAAGUGCACCAUUUUGCCUUGGGCGACGUGUGGUCCCUAUGUUGGAUUCCGAUUAACGGUAUUGUUGUUGUCCCUUUAAAGAGUGAUAUUCGCUCUACGUCCGUAAAAGGAGGUCGAGCGGACCAUGAAACUUGACUCGUUAUCCUCCUGUUUUGUGAAAACAAGCAUGAUAGGGUUGGAUUAUGAUCUCAAGUUGGGCCCUAGGAUACAGAAAGUUGUGUGGGAGUUGAUGUAAAAACGUCGCAAACCCAAAGCGUUGGUACGCUAAUGAUGGAUGACAUUCGAGUGUGUUGUGAUUCUUUCAUUCUAGAAAGGUUCAUGCUCGCCGAUGUCGACCAAGGAGUGCUACCUGGUUGAUCCUG
rnacentral:misc_RNA from 7 species